rnacentral:rRNA from 1 species
GUGGGGAAUCUUCCGCAAUGGACGAAAGUCUGACGGAGCAACGCCGCGUGAGUGAAGAAGGUUUUCGGAUCGUAAAGCUCUUUCGUUAGGGACGAACGUGCUCUUUGUGAAUAAUGAGGAGUAAUGACGGUACCUAAAUAAGAAGCCACGGCUAACUACGUGCCAGCAGCCGCGGUAAUACGUAGGUGGCAAGCGUUGUCCGGAAUUAUUGGGCGUAAAGCGCGCGCAGGCGGGAUAUCAAGUCUGUCUUAAAAGUGCGAGGCUCAACCUCGUGAGGGGACAGAAACUGGUAUUCUUGAGUGACGGAGAGGAAAGUGGAAUUCCAAGUGUAGCGGUGAAAUGCGUAGAGAUUUGGAAGAACACCAGUGGCGAAGGCGACUUUCUGGACGAUGUCUGACGCUGAGGCGCGAAAGCUAGGGGAGCGAACGGGAUUAGAUACCCGGGUAGUCC